rnacentral:tRNA from 1 species
GUUUUUAUAGUUUAAUUUAAAACCUUGGUCUUGUAAACCGAUAAUAAAAAAUUUUCUUUAAAAACU